rnacentral:rRNA from 1 species
CAUAACCUCGGGAAACUGGGUAUAAUACCCGAUAGGUCUCGAUUGCUGGAAUGCAUCGAGAUUUAAAGCUCCGGCGCCUAAGGAUGGGUCUGCGGCCUAUCAGGUAGUAGUGGGUGUAGCGUACCUACUAGCCUACGACGGGUACGGGUUGUGAGAGCAAGAGCCCGGAGAUGGAUUCUGAGACACGAAUCCAGGCCCUACGGGGUGCAGCAGGCGCGAAAACUUUACAAUGCUGGCAACAGCGAUAAGGGAACCUCGAGUGCCAGGUUACAAAUCUGGCUGUCGAGAUGCCUAAAAAGCAUUUCAUAGCAAGGGCCGGGCAAGACCGGUGCCAGCCGCCGCGGUAACACCGGCGGCUCGAGUGGUAACCGUUAUUAUUGGGUCUAAAGGGUCUGUAGCCGGCCGGAUAAGUCUCUUGAGAAAUCUGGCAGCUUAACUGUCAGGCUUUCAGGAGAUACUGUCUGGCUCGAGGCCGGGAGAGGUGAGAGGUACUUCAGGGGUAGGGGUGAAAUCUUGUAAUCCUUGAAGGACCACCAGUGGCGAAGGCGUCUCACCAGAACGGACCUGACGGCAAGGGACGAAAGCUAGGGGCACGAACCGGAUUAGAUACCCGGGUAGUCCUAGCCGUAAACGAUACUCGCUAGGUGUCGGCCACGGUGCGACCGUUGUCGGUGCCGUAGGGAAGCCGUGAAGCGAGCCACCUGGGAAGUACGGCCGCAAGGCUGAAACUUAAAGGAAUUGGCGGGGGAGCACCACAACGGGUGGAGCUUGCGGUUUAAUUGGAUUCAACGCCGGAAAUCUUACCGGGACCGACAGCAAUAUGAACGCCAGCUGAAGACUUUGCCGGAUUAGCUGAGAGGUGGUGCAU